UGCCCUUCCCAGCUGUCUCGCUCCCUUGCCUGUCCUCAGGACAGCGAGGUGGGCUUUCUGCAGUCUCGCCUUGCAGUGUGCGGGGGUCGCCCACUCGUGGGAAACCCUGGAGGAAGAGGAAGAGGAGGAGGCCAAGGUGCAAGCCAUAACAGAAGAAAAUUGCAUGAAGGUUCUCUAAGUAUCUCUAAUCACAAUCGAAGCCAUGGUGAUCAUGUCAGAAUUUACCUCAGUCCCCAUUUCAAAUCAGACACAGCAAAGGCCCCUCCGAGUUGGAUUUUAUGAUAUUGAAAGAACCCUGGGAAAAGGAAAUUUUGCUGUGGUAAAACUAGCCAGGCAUAGAGUCACCAAGACCCAGGUUGCAAUAAAGAUUAUAGAUAAAGCAAGAUUAGAUCCAAGCAACUUGGAGAAAAUUUAUCGAGAGGUUCAGAUAAUGAAGCUUUUAAACCAUCCUCAUAUUAUUAAGCUUUAUCAGGUUAUGGAAACAAAGGAUAUGCUUUACAUUGUUACCGAAUUUGCAAAAAAUGGAGAAAUGUUUGAUUAUUUGACCUCCAAUGGGCAUCUGAGUGAAAAUGAAGCAAGGAAGAAGUUCUGGCAGAUUCUUUCGGCGGUGGAAUACUGCCAUAGUCAUCAUAUAGUUCACAGGGAUCUCAAAACCGAAAACCUUCUUUUGGAUGCCAGCAUGAAUAUCAAGCUAGCAGAUUUUGGAUUUGGGAAUUUCUACAAGUCAGGAGAGCCCUUAUCUACAUGGUGUGGAAGUCCUCCAUACGCUGCCCCAGAAGUUUUUGAAGGGAAGGAAUACGAAGGGCCCCAUCUGGAUAUCUGGAGCCUUGGUGUUGUGUUAUAUGUCCUUGUCUGUGGCUCUCUUCCUUUUGAUGGGCCCAAUUUACCAACUUUAAGACAAAGAGUGUUGGAGGGCCGCUUCCGUAUCCCUUUCUACAUGUCCCAAGACUGUGAAACCUUGAUCCGCCGCAUGCUGGUGGUGGACCCGGCCAAGAGAAUCACCAUCGCCCAGAUCAAGCACCACAAGUGGAUGCAGGCGGACCCUUCCCUGCCGCGGAGCCCGGGCCUGGCCUUCUCUGUGCACAACUACAGCUCGAACCUGGGAGACUACAACGAGCAGGUGCUGGGGAUGAUGCAGACGCUCGGGAUCAGCAAGCAGAGGACGGUGGAGUCAUUGCAGAACAGCAGCUAUAACCACUUUGCUGCGAUCUAUUACCUCCUCCUGGAGCGGCUCAAGGAGUACCGGAGCACUCAGCCGGCCACCUGCUCGGGGCCCGGAGAGCUGCCAAGAUCUAGGAGCUCGGACCCGAGCCCCCUGGAGACGCCUCCGGAAGGCCUCGCUGCCGAUGCUUUCAGAUCCUCUUUGCUGCCCCAGCACCCCCAAAGCCUGGCCCCGGCCGUGUUGCAGGAAGAAAUGGAUUUUGACUUGAACCACCCUCUGCAGCCCCUCUUCUUCUCCGCGGACCCCAGCGUCAGCGGCCUGCUCCGAAGCGGCUUCAUCUCUCCCAACAGCCUCCUGGAGACCACUAUCAGCGAGGAGGUUCGCCAAGAUCAAGACUUGGAGGAGGAAGUCAAAGCCCAGCACCCCGGGCACCCCCCCAGCAGCACGGCCAACAGGAGGCACACCCUUGCCGAGGUCACCAGCCAUUUGUACCAGCGCAGCCCUCCGUGCAUAGUCAUCUCUUCUUGUACCAGCCCAGCCGAGGGAACCAGCUCCGAUAGCUGCCUCACCUCUUCUUCCAGCAAUGGGUCCGGAGGUCUGAGUAGCUGCCUCAAUGGCCAAGUGCUGAUGGCCGACUCCUCCGAUGUCAAACUGGCCUCUCCUUUCCUCGUGGCACAAUGUGACACCCCAGGCCAGAAGUUAGAGGGAGGCCUAGGGAGAGCUGCCCUGCUACCUCUCAGCUUUCAAGAAGGAAGGAGAGCUUCCGAUACCUCACUCACUCAAGGCUUGAAAGCUUUUAGACAGCAACUCCGGAAAAAUACUAGGGCCAAAGGAUUACUAGGACUAAACAAAAUUAAUGGGCUGGCUCGACAGGCGUGUCAGGCUUCAUCAGGGCGAGCCACCAGAGGAUGUCUAAACUCUUCCCAACACUAUCAGCCUAACCCUUGCCUAUACAGUAGCGGAGGAAAAGGCCGGGAAGGUGAAAACCUGCUAGAGGAGGUUCUUCACCAACAAAGGUUGCUGCAGUUACAGCAUAACACAUCAGUCCACCUGAGCUGUCCUCAGGCUCCCCAGCUGUCACAAGCACAGUAUGUCAUCUCUGCCUGUGAUGAAACCUACCCUGCGGCCAAUCCUCUCCUGACUUGUGGAGCGCACCCCCACCUGUUCAAGGGCAGCGUCUCCCCGGUGUCUUCAGCAGCCCAGCUCCUCGAUUCUCCCUUGGGCAUCCACAGCCACCCCUCUCUGGCCACCCCUUCUUUUCCCCAACAGCCACAUUUUGCCAUUUGGUCUCCGAGCUACGAUCCAGCAGUUUUGCACCAGGGAGACUAUGAGAUGGAAGACCUUACCUCUCCCCAAGUGGGGAAAUUUGUGCUGGUUCAGUGAGAGACCUCUGCUGUUUAAUCUAGUCUCCCUUCCUCGGGACUUCUAGUGUCCAACUGCAUGGAUUGACUGAUUCUUUGAAGCAAUAAUUUUAAAGGUUCAAACAGAACAACUUAUUUGGGGGAAAAUGUGCAAUAACCUGAGGCUAUGAUUAUACUGAAAAAAAAUAAGGAAAAUAGGACAACAAUCUUUUGGAAAGGAAUUCAACUUUUUCUGAACAAAACCUCUAUCUUGGAGAGAAUUCUAUCCAAAACAGUACAACCUUAAAGGUGUGUGGAUCUCUUUAUUUUUUGUUCUAGGUCAAUUAGUGUCUUUUUGGGUCCGUUUUAAAAACUUUCAAACCCACAACAAAUACUGUAUGUAUAUAGACAAAAAACAAAUGGAUACACAGCUUAUGUUUUAGAUUUUGUACUACAUUUUUGUGUUUUGGGUCUGUUUUUGUUUCCUGAAACUAUAAACAAAGCUGGGGUUGGUUCUAGUUCAUUUUUAAGGAGUGGUAUCAGGGGCCACCCUCAUGUUAAGAGACAGAGAAAGGUGUGUCCUCCAUUUUGGGAGCAGGUAAUUUGCAGGAACUUAGCCAGGUGGCUAAAAAGUGCUGCCUCCCUCUGCUCAUUGCUUGAAGGCGUCAUCUCUUUCUCAACACAGGGUGUCUUUGUUUAAUUUUGGCUCUUUUGAAACCUGUGGUAUUAAGCAAAAGUGAUACAAAUGGUAAAGCCAAAGACUGGCCAGAAUAAUUGGUGGCAGGGAGAAAAGGUGGUUUUAUGAGAUUGUUCCAUAUCUCCAGCUUUCCCCAAUUUGCCUCUCUUCAGAAAGUUCUAAGUAUUCAUGUUUUUGAGCUCGCUGCUGUUCCUCAAAACUUCACUGUGAGGGGAAGCUACUGGAGUUAACUCUUGCUGAUCAACCUGGUGCCUUGAAGUCGAGAGAACACCAAAGUCUCCUACUGGGUUGUGAAUCAGUCCUCAAGAGUGGGAGAGAAAAGAGAGAAGCCAGACUUUUCUGUCCCCUCCCCUCCCCCAGGGCAGCAACUUUACUUGCCUCCAUUUUUACAAAAGUAGCAAACCAAUCUAAAUGAAAUAGUCAUUUUCCCUUUUAAAAAUCAUUUGUUCUCAGUCUAGAUCAAAGGCUACAGCAAUGUUUUCAUUUGUUUCCUGUUCUAAGCAAUGGCAAGCACUUUAUUUUCUUGGUAUUUUUUCCCCAUUGCUAUAGAACCUUUUUGAAAUUGUUUGGCUAACAGAAAAGUCUCUCUGAAUUUUGCAGAUUUUCUUGACAGUGUUCUGCAGGCUGCAAUGCAAUAGGCUAUUUAAAGACACUACAUGGAUCUAUUAUGAUAUAUGUAUAUAUAUAUAUCAUAUUAUAAAUGUAAUAUAUAUAGUGGGGUUUUUUUUUACCAUGACUGAGUCAAUUGUUUUAUUUCUUAUCUUAAAAUGAGAAAUGUAUGCCAAAAUAAUUAAUGUGUUUUUAUUUAACAUUGAAAUAAAUCUUUGGGGGGAAAAACAUAAAUGUUUCCCUUGUGGUUUUUUAGAACUUCUACACGUGAUUUCCUGUUCAGUGCUGACUUAUAGAUUAUAAAAGAUGAUAGGGAUUUUACACAUGCUCUGGGUUCAUACAUUUUUCUUUAAAAAAGAAAAAAGUGUAGCUUUCACCUACAUUUAAACUUUUAUGUAAAUUGAAAUCUAUGAAUAGCAUUCCAUAUGCAGGUGAUGAAAUACCCUGUAGUGUCAAUAAGUAGAAAGAUCAGCAAACCUAUAAUAGAAUAUCAGUCAAAUAAUAAAUAUUUAUUAAGCACCUACUAUGUGCCAGGCACUGCUGAGCACUGGGGGUACAAAAAGAGGCCAAAAGUCCUUAUCCUUAGGGAGCUCACUAUUUAAUGGAGACAAUAUGCAAGCAAAUGUAUACAAACAAGCUAUCCAUGGGACAAAUGGGAAAUAACCGAGAAGGUACUGGGAUUAAGGGCAGUUGUAAAAGAUUAUGAAAAGGGAAUUUUAGUUAGGACUUAAAGGAAGCCAGGUAGGUUAGUAGGCAGGAGAGGAAGACUGAGAAAAUUCCAGACUUGAGGGACAGCCAGGGAAAAUGCCCAGAGCCAAAACAAGGAGCAUUGUUUGUGGAACAGAAGGCCAAUGGACCAAUGCCUAUGGGACAGGAAGAUUAGAAAGUUAGGAGGCCUCUGGAUUCUGAAGGGCUUUGACAAAGUGCCAAACUGAAGAUCUUGUAUCUUGAGGCAAUAGGGAUUCAUUGGAGUUUAUUGAGUAGGAGACAGCCAGAUGUGUCGGAAAAUCACUUUUAGUGGCUGAAUUGGAGUGGCGCACUUAAGACACCAGCAGGAUAUUGCAAUAGCCCCAAUGAGGAGGGUUGCACCUGGGUAGAGGCAGCGUCCAGAGGAGAGAAGGCAUAUUUGAGAUCCUUUGCCAAAAUGAAAUGGACACACGUUGGCAAGAGAUGAGAUAUGGGAGUCAAGAUAGUGAGAGAGGACUUGAUGAUGCCUCACACAGGUUAGCGGACAGAAGAACUGGGAGGAUGAUAUUUCCUCUUCAGUAAGAGGGAAGGUAGGAAAGGUUAGGGGGAAUGAUAAUGGGUUCUCUUUUAGACAUACCGAGAUUAAGGUGUCUUCAGGAUAUCUGAAAGGCAGUUUGUUAACUUGGAGGUCAGCAGAGAGAUUGGGGCAUGAUAUAGUAAAUAUGAGAGAUUUCAGCAUUGAGAGAGUAACAAAAUCCAUAGUUGCUGACAAGAUCACCAAGAGAGGUAGCCUAGAAGGUGAAGAGAAGAGGGCGCAGGACAGAGCCCUAAGCGACAUCUCUGGUUAGAGGUUAGAGGACAUGAUCUGGAAGAAGAUUCAGUGAAGGAGAAGUAAGAAACAGAGAACCAGGAGAGAGUGGAAUUCCAAAAACCUAGGAAGAGAGACCAAAAAAGAAAGAGUGAUCAACAAUAUUAAAGGCUGAAAAGAAGUCAAAGAGCAUGAAGAUUAAGCUAUGGGAUGUUGUUUAAUCAAUGACAAGAAUUAACAUAGGCCAACUUGACUUCUGGGUCAUGUGAGCAAUAAAAUGGAAGUCUAGAUAUCUUCUCUGGCCCCUACAGUCUCUCAAAUCUCUCCAAAACUAAAAAGUACACAUCAGAGAUAAGACAACUUAAACCAUCUCCAUGGUCCAGGACACCCAGAAUAAAAAGGAAAAAAAAGUUUAAAAAAAUCCUGAACUAAAGCCCUGAAGCUCAUAGCAAUGCUGUACUAGCAGACUCAAAGAUACCACACAAGCUUACAACAAAACCUUCCCCAACCCCUGCCUCUUCAGUUUUUAAAAUGUAAAUUUGUUUGUUACACUAAAAUACCAAACAACUACCUCCCUCUCUCCUUCUCCCCAUUAGAGAAGGCAUAAUUUGACCAAAAAAAGAUUUGUGUAUAUAGAAAACCAUGUCUUGCUUUUUUUCCCUACUGAUUAAUUCUUUCUCUGAAGGUAGAUAUAUACAAGUCAUCCUUCAAACAGUAUUUCUGUUGCUGUAUACAAGGUUCUUGUUUCUGUGCAUUUCUCUCUUCAUAAUUUUGUAUAGGUCUUUGGAGAUCCCUAGUUCUAGGCUGCAGAAAUUUGGACUCAACAGCCAGUCAGCAUUGUUGCAAAGUUUUAGUAGCUUUGAAUUGUAGGUGCCAAAGCAGUCAACCCAGUAACACCAAAAGCUUUGAAUUGUAGGUGCCAAAGCAGUCAACCCAGUAACACCAGAAUUAGCAAAGAUGGUAGUAGGGUGAACAAAGCCAUAGCACCAGUGCUAUAAAGCUCCAAACUGCCAGUGCUGGGCCAAAGAACUAAGGGACAGAAGGAACAGGAGAGUCUAUGUGUGUAUAGGGAGCUUUGUAGCACUCCACUAUGCUUGAGGGAAAGAACAUAUUACCUAGAUGGGGCCAUUUUUGACCACCUAAAAGUCAUUUGGGGCAGAGAUCAAGGCUAAUGAACUGUGUGACUUGUCCAAUGUGGGAGGAGAUCAAGACAUUUUGAGAUCUAGCCCCCAGGGAAACCACAACUAAAGGGGAGGGAGUCAGUAAGUGAACAAUAGAGGUAAAUA